rnacentral:misc_RNA from 1 species
AGCAGCCGCGGUAAUUCCAGCUCCAAUAGCGUAUAUUAAAGUUGCUGCAGUUAAAAGCUCGUAGUUGAAUUUCGGGACUAAUAUGUCGGUCGUGCCUCGGUACGUACUGGUUUAUUGGUUUCUCCUUUCUGAAGAACCAUGAUGUCAUUUAUUUGGUGUCGUGGGGAAUCAGGACUGUUACUUUGAAAAAUUAGAGUGUUUAAAGCAGGCUCACGCUUGAAUACAUUAGCAUGGAAUAAUGAAAUAGGACGUUUGAUUCUAUUUUGUUGGUUUCUAGGAUCGACGUAAUGAUUAAUAGGGAUAGUUGGGGGCAUUAGUAUUCAAUUGUCAGAGGUGAAAUUCUUGGAUUUAUUGAAGACUAACUACUGCGAAAGCAUUUGCCAAGGAUGUUUUCAUUAAUCAAGAACGAAAGUUAGGGAUCGAAGACGAUCAGAUACCGUCGUAGUCUUAACCAUAAACUAUGCCGACUAGGGAUCGGGAUGAUGUUAAUUUUUAAUGUACUCAUUCGGCGCCUUACGGG